rnacentral:lncRNA from 1 species
CAUAAAAUAUCGAGCCUCUCAGACUCUAUAAUAUAUGUAUGUAUUUACACUCGUCCAUACUCCCUAUAUAAAUUCAUGGGUCUAUAUAGGGCUACUACGCUCGCGUCCAACGCUCACGUCACGCCUUAAUGCGGUGCUUCACUACGCCAUCAAGGUGGACAGACGAGUGUAUAAAUAUGUGUCCAUACCCCCUAUAUGAAUUAAACACUCAAAUAGGGCUACUACGCUUACGUCCAACGCUCACGUCACACCAUAAUGCGGCUAUAUGCUACGCCAUUAAGGUGGACAGACACAUAUGGCUAGCUAGCAUUUAUAUACAUACUCUCUCAUAAAUACAUAUUUAUAUCCACCGAAAAUCCCAUUUUCGGUAACUCUCCAAGAGAAAUAAAAAUCGUCAAAUUUAAAAUGACGUUAAAAUAUUCCGCAACAUUAAUUGUUCAACCAUGAACUAUAGCAUGCAUUUAUUUAAAAUAAACGUCCACUCACAAAUUAGGCCUAAGCCUGAUGUCGAUCUGGGGCCUCGUCUACUCGAGCCUCCUCACGUCUUGUUCCAAUAUAAUAUUAAUUUCCCGACCAAAAAUCCAAUAUUUAAUCAAAAUAGGCAAAAUUACCCGAGAGCCAUAAAUACGCUCAUCAUUGCCUAACUUCGAUAUUCUUAAAUUGGAACAAUCCGAACUUAAAUAUCAUACUCAACAGUCGUAAAUACAACCUCCCCAAAAUACGACUUAAAUCCUACGGCCGGAUUCUGCAUUAAUUAACCGCCAAAAAUACCAAACUUCGGAAAUUCACGAACCUAUCCAAAUCUCAUCCAAAAAUUUCAUAAAUCACAUCAAUAUACUCCUCUUAAUAUUCCACACUUAAAACCCUAAAAAUCUCCUAACCGGCAGCGGCGGCCGGAGGCCAAUUCUGGCGACCUCCAAAACCUAUGAAAUUUUGACAGAAUAAUCCUCUCAUCAUGCUCUACAACUUUCCUAACUAGCACAAACACCAAUUCCAAGCCUAACUAGGGCAAUCGACUAAAAACAUCAAAAACACCAUAAAACUUCCACCUCAAAUUUCUCCUUACCUAGCUCAAGAGGGAGUGAGUCCUUUUAGGGCAAGGCUGCUGGAUUGGAGUGAGUCCUCUUGAGCUAGGUAAGGAGAAAUUUGAGGUGGAAGUUUUAUGGUGUUUUUGAUGUUUUUAGUCGAUUGCCCUAGUUAGGCUUGGAAUUGGUGUUUGUGCUAGUUAGGAAAGUUGUAGAGCAUGAUGAGAGAAUUAUUCUGUCAAAAUUUCAUAGGUUUUGGAGGUCGCCGGAAUUGGUCUCCGGCCGCCGCUGCCCGCGGAGCCGCCGCCGGUUAGGAGAUUUUUAGGGUUUUAAGUGUGGAAUAUUAAGAGUAGUAUAUUGAUGUGAUUUAUGGAAUUUUUGGAUGAGAUUUGGAUAGGUUCGUGAAUUUCCGAAGUUUGGUAUUUUUGGCGGUUAAUUAAUGCAGAAUCCGGCCGUAGGAUUUAAGUCGUAUUUUGGGGAGGUUGUAUUUACGACUGUUGAGUAUGAUAUUUAAGUUCGGAUUGUUCCGAUUUAAGAAUAUCGAAGUUAGGCAAUGAUGAGUGUAUUUAUGGCUCUCGGGUAAUUUUGCCUAUUUUGAUUAAAUAUUGGAUUUUUGGUUGGGAAAUUAAUAUUAUAUUGGAACAGGACGUGAGGAGGCUCGAGCAGACGAGACCCCAGAUCGACAUCAGGCUUAGGCCUAAUUUGUGAGUGGACGUUUAUUUUAAAUAAAUGCAUUGAACAAUUAAUGUUGUGAGUGGAAUAUUUGUCACAUCCCAUGACCCAUUUCGCCGUAACACGAUAUUGUUCGCUUUGGGCCCACCGGGCCUCACGGUUUUGUUUCCGGCAGCUUCCCAGUAGGUCACCCAUCCUAGGAUUGCUCUAGCAUCAACAUGCUUAACCUCGGAGUACCCAUCCCCUCCGAAGCCGCUGAGCCACCAAAAGGCCUCGUGUUAGAUUGGAGGUGGGCAUGUACAUAUACAGCACAUAACCCCUCUCCGUUUGGCCGAUGUGGGAUAUUACAAUCCACCCCCCUUGGGAGUCCGACGCCCUCGUCGGCACACUCGCACCACACGGCAGAGUGGCUCUGAUACCAUUUGUCACAACCCAGGACCCAUUCCGCCGUAACACGAUAUUGUUCGCUUUGGGCCCACCGGCCCUUACGGUUUUGUUUCCAGCAGCUCAGGAGCAGUUUCCCAGUAGGUCACCCAUCCUAGGAUUGCUCUAGCAUCAACAUGCUUAACCUCGGAGUACCCAUCCCUUCCGAAGCCGUUGAGCCACCAAAAGGCCUCGUGUUAGAUUGGAGGUGGGCAUGUACAUAUACAGCACAUAACCCCUCUCCGUUUGGCCGAUGUGGGAUAUUACACACAUGCCAUCUGCAAGCUUCAUUGCUUUGCAUAUGCCAAAUCUGCCAAAAACACAGCAAUCUGUUCCUUCUAGACAGCCAACUUCGUUUGAGCUUUGUGAACAUCUCCAGACAAUCUAGAACGUGAGCCACAUAUCAUUGGAAAGCUCUAUGUGUCUAGUUUUCAGAACUUUUUGCAGUUCGUCCAUAUCUAUUUUAACGAAGAAGUUAUGGAUGUUUUAGUGCGCAAAGGUCAUGCUGCACGGAAAUUUUUAUGCACUCUCGGGAUUGCAGCUUUUCGUAGCUUCUUUCAAUCCUUUUAAAUGGUUCAAGUGGAACUAUUUACUCACCUAUCUACUCCUUUUUGUAGAUAUAUCUCAUAGAGACAUUAAGUGCCUCGCAGAUAGUGGAACAAUCCACAAAAUUCUAAGGAACCGGCAACUAUCUUUGGAUUUUGUGCCUUUAUAAAUCUUUUGUAACUACAAUAAUUGAAUCAUACCGGUCAUUUUGGGACACGGUUUAGCUUGCAUCUUGAUGCCUUAUGACUCCAUGAUCAAUGUCACAGAUGCCCUCUGACACGACCCACCCCGAAUUUCACCCUGAAACCCAGAGUAAGUCGUGCGGGGACCACCUCCAAGGAAAAUUUACUGAAAAGAUUAAGAAAAUCUCCCUUGCAGAUGGACAACCCUAACUCGAAAAUUUCAUAUUACACUCUUAAUUUAACGCUUCUGAAUAUCACAUAAUAUACAAAAUUCUAAAGUAUUCAGAGCUACUAAACACAAGCGGAAGCAAGAAAACACAAGUAGGUUGAACAGGUAACCUACUGAUGAAAACUGGCCGAAAAGCGGGUGACUAUGCCUCGUCUCCUACUAGAUGCAACCCGAACUCUGCAGACUGGGCAAUUUAAAACGAAGGGCCCAGGGGAAAACAUUUAAUAACGUUAGAGUGAGUGGACAAAAAUAAAUUAAUAAUUAAAAUAUUUAUGUUUCCCCAAAUUAAUUUCUAAAGGAAAAAUCGAAUGCAUGCCGCAAGCGAUAAAAACUUUUAUANNNNNNNNNNNNNNNNNNNNNNNNNNNNNNNNNNNNNNNNNNNNNNNNNNNNNNNNNNNNNNNNNNNNNNNNNNNNNNNNNNNNNNNNNNNNNNNNNNNNNNNNNNNNNNNNNNNNNNNNNNNNNNNNNNNNNNNNNNNNNNNNNNNNNNNNNNNNNNNNNNNNNNNNNNNNNNCUUCCACCUCAAAUUUCUCCUUACCUAGCUCAAGAGGGAGUGAGUCCUUUUAGGGCAAGGUUGCUGGGGUUGGAAGGGGCUACAAAACCAUACCAAGCUUGCCCGGAUUGGUGGCCGGAGGAGGAAGUUCCGGCGAAAAAACCGAUUCGGCAGUCGAAGCUUCGGGCGGCACCGCUCACUCACGGCGGCGCUAGGGAGGCUGUCACCGGUCUAGAAAUGUUGCUGGGAGGGAGACCGACCGAACGGAACCGGUCCGGCGGCGAACGGAGGCCGGACGGCGGCGGGAGGGCGGCCGGAAAACCGGGCAGCGGGAGGCUCGGGUGCGGAGAGGAAAUCGGGAGGGAGAGAGAAAGAAAAGAAGAAGAAAAUGGGUUGGGCUCGGCCCAGCCGACCCAACACUCCCUUUUUAACCCAAACUUCCAAAAUAAAAACACCCCGAAAAAUAAUACCCGAAUAAAAAUUACCUUUUACUAGCUAAAAUUUACCAUUUUUACCGUAGUCAUAUUUUCCUCAUACGAAUAAUCCUCCGCACAUAAUCGUCCCCGAAACCCCUCUAGGGACCAAUUAAACUAUUUACUCAAUGAUCGAGACGGUAAAAUUCUUAUUAUAAUCACGCUAGUAAAUAAGGUAAAAAUAUAAGGGUCGGGAUGUGACACCCUCUAUGCAUUGAGAGGCAACCGAAUCAUGUUGAGCUUUAAAAACAUUCAUGCUAAUAGUUUUCAUUUGAAAACAAAUUGUGAGAAUGAACAAGAGUUAUUUUGUGUAUACCUUCUCAUGGAGAAGCUCAUAAUUAAGUCAAUCUAGAAGACAGUAUGUCACUACGAUUUGAAUAUCGAAUCCCAUGUUAUCGCCAAACAUGAUAUUUGGGACACCGACUCAUGCUUUGGUUUGACCAAAUCGGUCAUUCUGGAAGAGAUAUGAUGGUCCGAAUUUUGAGCUACUUUAAAUUCUCAUGGACAUCCAUUCUUCCGCUCAAAACAAAGACAUUCGGGAUCUAGUUUCACCAUAAAGCAUGAUGGUGAUGCCAUGGUUGUAAAUGGCAGCACUCGGGGGACAUUAACGUCACCCAAACACGGCUCCAACUUCCUGGAGGCCGUCUGGUCAAUUCCUCAAGCAAUUGAGGUGCACCGGCCUUUCCUCGAUGUCUCAUCGGCCCCCUGCAAUGCUUAUUACUUGUUUUGAAAGCCUAUUCUUUAGCUAAAUUAGGAAUGAGACCCUCCUACGCUAAAUGACACAAAAGUAAACAUUCCAUUCUUACAUCAAAUUAUGUAGAUAGAUACAACCAACUUGCGGACACUUUUUUUUAUGUUUUAUGGUGUUAGUUGAAGUGUUAACACACUAGUCACGUGUUACAUUAUUGUCUGCUGCUUAUGCUUUUAAGAGCUCACUACCCUUUUUUUUUAAAAAAGAAAUUAUUUAUAAAGAUUGAAGAGGGAACAACGAUAAUUGCCGUCCCUGUCCUUGAGGAACUUGGGACAGCAGAAACACCUACCAUCCUGUUACUUAUUUGGUCUCACGAAAAAUGACUACGAUAAUAGUCUUAAGAUUAGUAGAUGUGCACCAAUACUUCCAUUCAGGUUUAUAUCACAUGCAGCUUUAUUAUUCGUCUACGACCCAUCAACAUUGAAUAUUUUUGCACUACAACUCGUGACUGUAGGCACGGAUUGACACGAAAUUGCAAUCCUUGAGCUUAAACAGGAUUGAAACGGAUCUCCAAUCCUUGAGUUCUGUUAGAUGUUAUUUCUAGGUGCUAAAUCGCACUGCUACUGCGCACAAUGAUGGGUCAUUUGAGAUGAAUAAAUAUUUAGGUUGGAUAUGUAGAACCUCCAACUAUAUAGUCCGCCUAUGUAGAAACCUUGUCAGGCGAUCUAUUUCACCGUUAUAUUACGGAUUGUCACUUUGAUGAGACAAUAUUCCUAUCGUUAUGGGGACAUAUAUAAGAACAUAAGUGUUUAAGUGGAACGACGUGAAUUGUCAUGGUUUGUCCCCACUAAGUCUCAUCUUAAUCUCAAAUGCUUAAAGUGUUAAAAUGACGACAUCACAUGCUGCAAAUAUGUCUGCAAGGAUUGAUGUCUUAUCAAAGGACAUGGCGCGACCAAAAGAAGUUGAUAUUGGCGCCAUCACCAUGGAUGGUGACAUGGUGACGCCAUAUAGUGGCAAAAUUGGUGUCACAAGGCCGUGUGGCUCCCCAAAGGAGGGAGGCUCUUAGGUUCGAUAAUUUCUUGCACUAGGAAGAAAGCGAGCUUGGCACAACCUGAUCCAUUGAUCAGUGAUACUCAAAUCUGUCUCAUAAAGUCUGAAUUAUGAUUAUCAUUGGGGACGCCUCAAUGUCAAAUCCAAUCCAUAUAGAGAUCUCUACAAGUAUUACAUUAGUGUAUAUGAGGAUGUGGGAUAAUGAGUCUACUAUCGAACCACCCUUCGUUGAUGGAUAUCAACUUAGUUGAUUGGCCUAAUGGAAAGAUAUGAUCCAGCAUAACAAAGAGAUAGGUCUUUGGACAGGUGAUAUUGACACCGCAAGUGUAAACCUUAUCAACUAUGUCUUUGUUAGAUAGCGUAGUGAGAACAAGAGCUUAGACUCACCUUAUGGCGCAAGGUCUCUCACUAACACGCACUAGGAUCGACUAUGAUGAGAUAUGCUCUCGUAAUGGAUGUCAUUGAACUCCACUACUUUGUCAGUUUGGUAGUUUCCGAAUAACUGAACAUACAGCCUAUGAAUGUGGUCAUAAUAACAUCUCUAUGGGAUCAGAGAUAUACAUGAAGGUCUUAAACAGACUUUAUUCAUCCGAAUCAAAUGGCUCCAGACCAUAUGAGCACGCGCUUGCAAAAGGAAGUUUAAAACGCACGGUAAGUAACUACUUGAUUUUGAAGGGAUAUGAUGAAUUAUGCCCUUGCGUGUUGAUUCCGAAUUUACAUGGACUCUUGAUGAACUAAGAGAUGCCAAGAUGUAUCAAACAUCUGAAGUUAAGAAUGAAACAGAUCUUGGGAAGACACGGUCUCGAAAAGGCACUCGAUGACUGUAUUGAUGAUGAUUUUCCAUCAAUCGGUUUAGGUGCUCUAACGAAAGUG